rnacentral:lncRNA from 9 species
AGGCAGGAUCACUGUGGGAAAUGCACCAGAAAGAGCAAGCAUUUUCCAGUCAGGUGACAGCGAUUUGAAAUCCACCCACCAGUGGUUAUUAACUAAACCUUAGUCAGUUUCCAUAACCCACCUGUGCUCAGUUUCCCAUUUUGUUUUUUGGUCAUACUCCCUGCAUGUUCAAGUUCCCAGGCCGGGGAUCAAACCAGACCCAUGCUGCUGCAGUGACAACACACCAUCCUUAACCUGCUGCGCUGCAAGAGAACACGCCUCAGUUUCCCAUUCUUCACAUAGAGGGAAUAAAACUGCUGCUGCAGGGUUCAAACAAGGACCACAUCAAAUUGCAAUGUAUAUAAAACAUAGCCUACCUUUCAGGGGCUGCAUGCCAAGGAUUUAUUUCCUCGCCAUUUAGUGGGAGGGUGACAGUCACCUCUAAGUGGGGGACCAUGCUGAAAGAAAGCUUCCCACGGCUCAGGCCCCUGGAGAAAAUAGAAAAGCAAAAACAAGGAGGAGGAUGCAGGAGUGACAGACACGGGAAGAGGUCACAGCCGAGUGAUCAGCUAAGCUAAGAUUACCUUGGUUUCUAAGCAGUAACAGGAGGCCCUGCCCAGCUUCGUGUGAUAUUCAGAAAACCUGUCUUCCUGUCUCAGCUCUGCUGCGAGCCGGGGAGCUGGGGCAAGUCACUUCCCUUCUCGGUUCUUACAGGGAAAGUGCGGUUAUUGACACUCGCCUUUCCGCUUAUUGUGAAAAUGUAUGAGAUGGAAGCUGGAAGGCGUCCAGCUCCUAGCGAGACUCCCUGCAUGUAGCGCUUCCCCCCCAGUUGCGAGCAGCGCAGCCAGCAUCCGAAGAGGCGGGACUGAUGAAGAUGAACUCGAGUUGCCUGGCAUUUCAGCCAGCACAGGUUAGAUCCCGCUGUGCUUAAGAGUCGGUCUACAGAUUCAGGGGCUUAAAUUUGCAGGUUUCUUCCUUAGGCACCCCACUCUCUAGCAGGGUCAAGCAGAGGUCCUGUGCCACACCGCUGUCCUGCUCAGUCCCGGCCCCAGGCAGCAGAGCCGCCGCCGGCAGGGACGUUGCCGGUUGCCACGACCGGAAAGAAGAAAAGGUGGUGCCGCCGCCUGCCUUUCAAAGCCUCCCGUCUCUUCAUUGGCCAACGCGAGUCACGUGAGGACACGGCAAGUGGGCGGGAGAGCACAGCCCACCGUGGGUGUCGGGAAGGAAAGAGAAGCAUCAGUGAGCAGCCCUGGUGUCCACCGCAGUCAGGGAGCAACGACUUCAGGAGGAUUUUAAUUGUAUCUUUUCCCAAGGAAAGACGUGCCAUUAAUUGCUGAGAAUUGGCACACUACCAAAGAUAUGUUUUUCUUUUCCUGAUGAAAAGAAAUUAUAAGUAGUCUUGCAGAGUUGUUGCACUGCUUGCAGAAUUUUCUGGGGCCGUAGCCACGGCUGCGUUUCCCCACCUUCCGUUUAUUUCUGCAGUCUUCUUUAUUGCAGUCAGGAAGUGGCCUUUUCUUCCCUCAUGGGUCUCUCUGCCCUCCCACGUCAUGAACAUGUGGCUCUUUCCUACACCCCAAUCAUGUUUAGAAACCCCAAACUUCUGAUGGCACCAAAACCACGGAACGGUCCGUCAGAAACCACCGCUUUGAAAUGACCAGCGUUUGUAGGCGCCUUUCCCACUGAGUGUGUUCUCUAUUUUUGCGACUCAGACGUGCGGAAUAUACUGCUUCCUUUCUGAUUUUCAACAUGCAAGUGUUUCUUCGAUCUUCCAUAGGGAGCCUUCCUAAUAUGUAGAUCACAUAGCCUUCUGCCUGUGGGAUCUCCAUAUUCUCCCUGUGGGAUCCCCAAUGCGUAAUUACAAUGUCGGUACCACACCUUGAGAAAGUUAGAAGACCCAUCAAGUCCACGCCAAGUUGGCUCAAACUCACCAGCUCUCCAUCAGAGAACCAAGCAGCCCAGGGACGAGACCUGGGUUAAAAUGCGAGAGCUCCGUGUUGUCUAGGUUCCGCCACCAGUUAGCUUGGUCGACUGGGGCAGAUCAUUUCACCUCCCUGCGCCUCAGUCUCCCUGAUGAUCAGAGCAGAGGUUUGGAUCAAGUGGUAUCAAAGGCAUUUCUAGCAUGAACAUUCUGGCAUUAUUGGGCCUCAACUGGAGUUUCACCAUGCACUUAAAACUGAGCCUAUAAGCAACUAUUUCUGAUCAAAUUUAUUGAUGAGAUAGCUCUUCUAUGUGGAGAAUGGGUCUGGAGAAACAACUGCAAGAUGUCCAGCAGAAGCGGUCUUUAGGUCAUCUAAGAACCAUGAUUUUCCACUUUGCACAACCACUAGAAAUUUCUCAUUUGAUACUGAUGAGAAAUCUGACACAUGGCAUCUAUAUGAUGUAUCUUAACCAGGAGAAUGCUUAACCAGGAGAAUGCUUAACAUACUGAUGCCUCCCUCUAGUACUGCUUUUUUUUUUUUUUUAAUUUCAUUGAGAUGCAAUUCGCCCAGCGAUAGUGUAUAAAUCAGUGGAUUUUGGUGUAGACACAGAGUUCUGCCAUGAUCACAACAAUCAACCUGAGAACAUUUCCACCGCCCCAGAGAAACUCCACAUGUGUCACCAUUCAGUCUCUGUGCCCUCUCAAACAUCUCCAACGCCUGGCGACCGCGAAUCCACUCGCCGACUCUACAGAUUGGCCUAUCCUGGAUAUUUCCUAUAAAUAGAAUUAUAUAAAAAUUUUUGUUUAAUGUUGGGCUUCUUUCACCAAGCAUAACGUUUUCAAGGCUCAUCCAUGUUGAGCAUCUAUCAGCGCUUCUUGUCUUUUUAUCACCAAAUGGUAUUUCGCUGUAUGGACAGACCACAUUCUCACUAUCCAUUCAUCAGGGGGUGGGCAUUUAGGACAUUUGAGUCUUUUUGGCUAUUCUGUACAAUGCAGCUGUGAACAUCCAUGGAUAAGGUUUUGUGUGGACUUGUAUUUUCAUUUCUGUUGGGUCUAUACCUAGAGGUAUAAUUCUAGGUCACGUGGUAACUCUAUGCUUAACCUUUCCAGGAAUGACCAGCUCUUUCCAAAGUAGCUGCACCAUUUUCUACUCUUAUAAGCCUGCUGUGAGGGUUUCAUUUUCUCCACAUCCUCACCAAAACUUCCUGUUAUUUUCUUUCUUUUUCUUUUCUUUUCUUUUCUUUUUUUUUUUUUUUUUUUUUUUUUUUUGCUUUUUAGGGCCGCACCCAUAGCAUACGGAGGUUCCCAGGCUAGGGGGCGAAUUGGAGCUGUAGCCACUGGCCUACGCCACAGCUACAGCAACUCCAGAUCCAAGGCGUAUCUGCAGCUACACCACAACUCAUGGCAAUGCCGGAUCCUUAACCCACUGAGCGAGGUCAGGGAUCGAACCCGAAACCUCAUGUUUCCUAGUUGGAUUUGUUUCCACUGCGCCACGCCAGGAACUCCCCAUACUUGCCAGUUUCAUUAGAACCAUCCUAGAAUGUGCGAAGUGGUAUCUCCUUGUGGUUUUGAUUUGUAUUUCCCUGAUCGCUAAAGAUGUCGAGUAUAUCCUCAUUGAUAGACCCUCUUUGGAGAAACACUCAUCCAGGUCCUUUGCCCAUUUCAAAUAUUAGUUAGGCAGUUCCUGUUGUGGCUCAGCAGAAACAAACCUGACUAGAAUCCACGAGGAUGCAGGUCUGAUCCCCGACCUCUCUCAGUGUGAAGGAUCCAGAGUUGGCAUGAACUGGGGCCGAGGUCAAAGACACAGCUCACAUCUAGUGUUGCUGUGGCUCUGGUGUAGGUCAGCAGCUGUAGGUCUGAUUUGACCCUGUAGCCUGGGUGUGCUGUGGGUGUGGCCCUCAAUAAAGUGAAAUAAAAUAGUAAAAUAUUAGGUUAUAUAUCUUUUUAUUAUUGAAUUAUGACUUCUCUGAAUUUUUGCUAAUAAAGGAUAGUUCAUUCACAAUGCUGUGUUAGUUUCAGGUGUACAAAAAAUCUGGAAAAAAUAUAUGUAAAUACAUAUACAUAUAUAUUUUAUAUAAAUAUAUAUAAAUAUACAUAUGUACACAAACAUAUAUAUAAACAGAUUUUUACCUCUUAUAGAUUAUUACAAAAUAGGUUAUUACAAAAUAUUGAGUACAGUUCACUGUACUACACAGCCGGCCCUUGUCGGUAAUCUAUUUUAUUUGUAUUAGUGUGUAUAUGUUAAUCCCGAAUUCCCAAUUUUAAUCUCUUUUUAGAUACACAGUUUGCAAAAUUUUUCUCCCAUUCUGUGGGAUGUCUUUUCACCUUCUUGCUGAUGCCCUUUGAAGGACCACGUUUUAAAUUUUGAUGAUUUCCCAUUUACCUAUUUUUUGGUUGUUGUCGACAGUGCUUUUAGAGUUACAUUCUAGUGCUGUUUGGAAAGCUGUUUUUUUCUUAGCUUUUUGUUCAUACUUAGAAAAAUACUUCUGACGUCGCUUUCCCGCCCAGAAUUACUUAGAAUAGUAGAAGCUAAUAUUUGCUAAGCACUUACUAUGUGCCAGCCUAUUGCUCAGAGUCCAGAGGGCUUGGGUUGCCAGGCGGGGCCUCGGGGCUCACAGAGACCAGAGCAGCCACUCUGACUGGGGAGCCUGUGCCCUCAAGACCUUUGGGUCCACCCGAAUGUACCUUCCUCCCUUGACAUCUGUUUCAUUUUUCCAAGGGAAAAGCCAUGUGUCUGCUAUUGGUGUUGGACAAGUUAGGCCCCCCUCCUCCUGUUCCCCUCCCUUCCCAGAACCGCCGGCGUCUGCAGACUCUCCAACGCACACACACAGGAGUCCAAACGGCAAAACAACACCCUCGUUCCUGACACACAGCCCGUAAGGCCCUGAGGCCGCAACUUCCGGGGCUGCAUGACCGCCCCCCCGCCCCCCCCCAGCUGUGGUGGUGACAGUCCAGGGUUUGCCAGCCCCUCUCCCACCGUCUCCAGCUGCCUAUCGGCCCUGUUUUACGAGGCUUCAGAGUCAUCUCUCAGACUCAGCCUCCCUCUCCUGUUUCACCCUUCCUGCCACUGCAUCUGCGCAGAUCCCC